CCUACGGGUGGCAGCAGUGAGGAAUAUUGGUCAAUGGACGAGAGUCUGAACCAGCCAAGUAGCGUGAAGGAUGACUGCCCUAUGGGUUGUAAACUUCUUUUAUAAAGGAAUAAAACGAGGCACGUGUGCCUUUUUGCAUGUACUUUAUGAAUAAGGAUCGGCUAACUCCGUGCCAGCAGCCGCGGUAAUACGGAGGAUACGAGCGUUAUCCGGAUUUAGUGGGUUUAAAGGGAGCGUAGAUGGGUUGUUAAGUCAGUUGUGAAAGUUUGCGGCUCAACCGUAAAAUUGCAAUUGAUACUGGCAGUCUAGAGUACAGUUGAGGUAGGCGGAAUUCGUGGUGUAGCGGUGAAAUGCUUAGAUAUCACGAAGAACCCCGAUUGCGAAGGCAGCUUACUAAGCUGUGACUGACAUUGAUGCUCGAAAGUGUGGGUAUCAAACAGGAUUAGAUACCCGAGUAGUC
rnacentral:rRNA from 1 species